rnacentral:rRNA from 1 species
UACGGAGGGGGCUAGCGUUGUUCGGAAUUACUGGGCGUAAAGCGCACGUAGGCGGCUUUGCAAGUUAGAGGUGAAAGCCCGGGGCUCAACUCCGGAAUUGCCUUUAAAACUGCAUCGCUAGAAUUGUGGAGAGGUAAGUGGAAUUCCGAGUGUAGAGGUGAAAUUCGUAGAUAUGUGGAGGAAUACCGAUGGCGAAGGCAGCCCCCUGGGAUAACACUGACGCUCAUGCACGAAAGCGUGGGGAGCAAACAGG